rfam:Ailuropoda melanoleuca scaffold162_4, whole genome shotgun sequence.
GCCUGGUUGGCUCAGUUGGUAGAGCAUGAGACUCUUGGUCUUGGGGUUAUGAGUUUAAGUCCCACAUUGGGUG